AAAAUAUCCAAAACUAAAAUCUUUUCUCCCACUGAAACGCUAUUCCUACGCCUUCCACACAUCCCUGAAAAAAGCAAAAAAGCAAAAAAGCAUGGAGGAGGUACUUAUACCUGUUGGCCAACGACUCUUUUAUCUACAGGUGUCUCUUGCUUCCCUCUUCAAAAACAAGAACAAGAAGCCUGCAAACCUCAAAGCCUUGUGCCCUAGCUUCUUUGUGGUUUACUAAGAAGAACAAGAGGCGGUUGUCCUUUGAUUGUCCUUGCUCGUCAAUUGAUUGUCUUAGCCGUGCCCAAACCUCUCAAUUCAGUCUGCAAAAGAGAAGUCAGAUGGAUAGUUGCCGGCUUUGGCUCGGGACAGCCCCCUUAGUGCUGCGAAAUGCAUCAAUAGAGAUAGUGAUUUAAUAAAAUGUACCAUAGAUGCAGUUCCCCAAGGAAAAGUAGAGAUAUGGAAUAAUGAAAUGCAAAACUCUUUUAGUUUUAUCUAUAAUUAUAAUAGAUUAGGGUUUGGUGAUGUGUAAAAAAGCAUUUUGUCUCUGUAAUCUUAUAAUCUUUCAAUUUUGUCCCUGUAGUCUUGUAACAUUCCAUUUUAAUCUUUCAUUUAUAAUGUAGUAUAUCAUUGACCUAA